rnacentral:rRNA from 1 species
CCCUACGGGGCGCAGCAGGCGCGAAAACUUUACAAUGCGGGCAACCGUGAUAAGGGAACCUCGAGUGCCCGUACAUGCGGGCUGUCCAGGUGUCUAAAGCACACCUGAAGAAAGGGCCGGGCAAGACCGGUGCCAGCCGCCGCGGUAAUACCGGCGGCUCGAGUGGUGGCCACUUUUAUUGGGCUUAAAGCGUUCGUAGCUGGGUCGGUAAGUCUCUUGGGAAAUCUGGCAGCUUAACUGUCAGGCGUCUAAGAGAUACUGCUGAUCUUGGAACCGGGAGAGGUGAGGGGUACUUCGGGGGUAGGAGUGAAAUCCUGUAAUCCA